GUAUAUAUAGCUCAGUGGUAGAGUACAUGCUUAGCAUGCAUGAGGUCCUGGGUUCAAUCCCCAGUACCUCCA
rnacentral:tRNA from 1 species